AUGAACCCCCCAGGAAUGUGGGGCUCCCCCAUUCCCCAAAAAAAAAUCCCCAGGGAAUUCCUCCAUCCCCUUCUCUGGAAUUCCACAUCCCACAAAAUCCACCUCGAUUUCCCUUUUAGGGACCCCAAAUCCCGGGAUCCCGAGCAGAUCCCUCUUUCCCUGGAUCCCAAAGAUUCCCAUUCCCGGCUGUUCCCGAGCUCUCCCACGCACUCACUCAGAGCUGCGCAAUUCCCACAUUCCCAGCUGGAAUUCUGGAUCCUCAGGGCCGGCCGGGAAUCUUCCCGGAUCUCAAAUCCCCCAAAAAUUCCCUGUGGGAAUCUUCCCAGGAUCCCAAAUCCCCCAAAAAUUCCCUCUGGGAAUCUUCCCGGAUCUCAAAUCCCCAAAAAAUUCCCUCUGGGAAUCUUCCCUGAUCUCAAAUCCCCAAAAAAUUCCCUCUGGGAAUCUCCCACAAUCUCAGAUCCCCAAAAAUUCCUUCCGGGAAUCUCCCCAGACCUCGGAUCCCCAAAAAUUCCCUCCAGGAAUCUCCUUGGAUCUUGGGCCCCCAAAAAUUCCUUCCGGGAAUCCCCCCGGAUCUCAAAUCCCCAAAAAUUCCCUCCAGGAAUCUCCUUGGAUCUUGGGCCCCCAAAAAUUCCUUCCAGGAAUCUUCCCGGAUCUCAAAUCCCCCAAAAAUUCCCUCUGGGAAUCUCCCCCGGAUCCCAAAUUCCCUCUGGGAAUCUCCCCGGAUCUCAAAUCCCCCCAAAAAUUCCAUCCAGGAAUCCCCCCGGAUCUCAAAUCCCCAAAAAUUCCUUCCAGGAAUCUCCCACAAUCUCGGAUCCCCAAAAAUUCCCUCUGGGAAUCUCCCCGGAUCUCAAAUCCCCCAAAAAUUCCCUCUGGGAAUCUCCCACAAUUUCGGAUCCCCAAAAAUUCCCUCUGGGAAUCUCCCAGGAUCUCAAAUCCCCCAAAAAUUCCCUCUGGGAAUCUUCCUGGAUCUCAAAUCCCCAAAAAAUUCUCUCCAUGAAUCUCCCCAGAUCUCAAAUCCCCCAAAAAUUCCCUCCAGGAAUCUCCUUGGAUCUUGGGCCCCCAAAAUUCCCUCUGGGAAUAUUCCCAGGUCUCAAAUCCCAAAAAAAAUUCCCUCUGGGAAUCUUCCUGGAUCUCAAAUCCCCCAAAAAUUCCAUCCAUGAAUCCCCCCGGAUCUCAAAUCCCCAAAAAAUUCCCUCUGGGAAUCUUCCCCGAUCUCAGAUCCCCAAAAAUUCCCUCUGGGAAUCUUCCUGGAUCUCAAAUCCCCCAAAAUUCCCUCUGGGAAUCUCCCCCGGCUCCCAAAUCCCCCAAAAAUUCCCUCUGGGAAUCUCCCUGGAUGAGUUCCGAGCAGGAACCGUCCCGCUCCUCCUCGUCCCUUUUCCCGUCCCGUCCCAUCUCAAAUCCCGGACGAUUUUGGGCUUGGAAAACGCUUCCCCAAAUUCCCGAUUUUUUCCCGAAUAA
rnacentral:lncRNA from 1 species